rnacentral:rRNA from 1 species
GACGAACGCUGGCGGCGUGCUUAACACAUGCAAGUCGAACGGAAAGGCCCUGCUUUUGUGUGGUGCUCGAGUGGCGAACGGGUGAGUAACACGUGAGUAACCUGCCCUUGACUUUGGGAUAACUUCAGGAUACUGGUGCUAAUACCUGAUAGGAGCUCCUGCUGCAUGGUGGUGGUUGGAACGUUUCGGCGGUUGGGGAUGGACUCGCGGCUUAUCAGCUUGUUGGUGGGGUAGUGGCUUACCAAGGCUUUGACGGGUAGCCGGCCUGAGAGGGGGACCGGGGACAAGGGGACUGAGAGACGGACCAGACUCUUACGGGAGGCAGCAGGGGGGAAGAUUGCACCACGGGUCCACGCUCGUUGCCUACACGCCGCGUGCGGGAUGACGGCCUUCGGGUUGUAAACCGCUUUCGCCUGUGACGAAGCGUGAGUGACGGUAAUGGGUAAAGAUGCACCGGCUAACUACGUG